AGAACGAACGCUGGCGGCAGGCUUAACACAUGCAAGUCGAACGCGUGUAGCAAUACACGAGUGGCGCACGGGUGAGUAACGCGUGGAUAUCUGCCUUUUGGUUCGGAAUAACCCCGGGAAACUGGGGCUAAUACCGGAUGGUUCCUACGGGAUAAAGAUUUAUCGCCAAAAGAUGAGUCCGCGUACGAUUAGCUAGUUGGUGAGGUAAUGGCUCACCAAGGCGACGAUCGUUAGCUGGUCUGAGAGGACGAUCAGCCACACUGGGACUGAGACACGGCCCAGACUCCUACGGGAGGCAGCAGUGGGGAAUAUUGGACAAUGGGGGCAACCCUGAUCCAGCCAUGCCGCGUGAGUGAUGAAGGCCUUCGGGUUGUAAAGCUCUUUUGUGCGGGAAGAUAAUGACGGUACCGCAAGAAUAAGCCCCGGCUAACUUCGCGCCAGCAGCCGC
rnacentral:rRNA from 1 species